CGCAGGCGCGCUCCUCCAUGCGUCAUUUUAAAUUCUCGUAAAUUCCAGUGCGCGUCAGUGCGCAUGUGAUGUUCGUCUUCUUGCGCUCUUUCAUUUGAUUAGUGUUGUAACCUAUAAUUUUUUCUUAAUUUAUUCGGCGAUUUGCGGAAAAUGCGAGUAAACUAGGUACAUCACACAUAUCAGUUGAUCUAUGUCCACCCAAAAUUGAACUUCUAAAAUUAAACAAAAAGAACAAAUCGCAGUGCAAUAGAGUCUCAACGAUUUCCUUUACAGCUAUUCUCGUGAAUGUUCACUCGAUCUGGAUUAAAGGUUCUUCCACAACGCUUACACGGCACCAGCUGGCUCAAAUGCGUCAUCCAAUUGGCCUCUGCCGUAGCCGCCUGAUCAACUACCAUGUUUCCCGUGCGGGAAUCUUCUGCGAACAGUAAAGUUGUCAUUGCCGAUUGUAUCGUAUCUUGAAAAAGGCAGGAAAAAUCUUGGAAAGGUAGCACUUUUAAUCAAGAAUAAUCUACAAAGCGUGUAUAAUAAAUUAGGACUGCACCCACUUCCAUUCCACGAUGGUGCAUAAAGACGUUAUGGAUUCGUAUAUCAUACAUGCAUGCGUAAUUGCUUCGGUAACCGAUUGAUUCAUUAUAUAAGUACUUGAGUGUUACAUAUUACUCUUGACCCUGACAGCGGACCGAAUGAAUCUCAAGGUUUUUGCGGCUCUUUUCUUCUUCGGGCGGGUGACAGUUUGUCAUUCUCGACGUGCCAUUUCUUCAAGCAUUGCGGCUCGUGAAUGGCGAUACUGGAGGAUCCGAAAUCUCUACCACAAAUGUAACAUGUGAUGG